UAGUCUGGAGAAGCGUCCUCAG
rnacentral:siRNA from 1 species